rnacentral:rRNA from 1 species
GUGCUUGCACCGCUGACGACCGGCGCACGGGUGCGUAACGCGUAUACAAUCUACCUUGUAGAGGGGGAUAGCCCAGAGAAAUUUGGAUUAAUACCCCAUAGUAUUAUGGAACAGCAUUGUUCUAUAAUUAAACAUUUAUGGCUACAAGAUGAGUAUGCGUUCUAUUAGUUAGUAGGUAAGGUAACGGCUUACCUAGACUUCGAUAGAUAGGGGUCCUGAGAGGGAGAUCCCCCACACUGGUACUGAGACACGGACCAGACUCCUACGGGAGGCAGCAGUGAGGAAUAUUGGACAAUGGGCGAGAGCCUGAUCCAGCCAUGCCGCGUGCAGGAAGACGGCCCUAUGGGUUGUAAACUGCUUUUAUAGAGGAAGAAACACUCCUACGUGUAGGAGCUUGACGGUACUCUACGAAUAAGGAUCGGCUAACUCCGUGCCAGCAGCCGCGGUAAUACGGAGGAUCCAAGCGUUAUCCGGAAUCAUUGGGUUUAAAGGGUCCGUAGGCGGGACAAUCAGUCAGCGGUGAAAGUCUGUGGCUCAACCAUAGAAUUGCCAUUGAUACUGUUGUUCUUGAAUACUUAUGAAGUGGUUGGAAUAUGUAGUGUAGCGGUGAAAUGCAUAGAUAUUACAUAGAACACCGAUUGCGAAGGCAGAUCACUAAUAAGUCAUUGACGCUGAUGGAC